rnacentral:miRNA from 1 species
AGGCACAGGGAGGGACAUUCUGUUUAAGCUCAGCUAAAGCAGGGAUGCUAUGGCCACAUGGGCUUGCUUGGGGUGGUACUUUGUCGGGCUG